rnacentral:rRNA from 1 species
UGGUGGAGUGAUUUGUCUGGUUAAUUCCGAUAACGAACGAGACCUUAACCUGCUAAAUAGUUACACUAACCUUGGUUGGUGCGAACUUCUUAGAGGGACUGACUACGUUUAGUGGUCGGAAGUUUGAGGCAAUAACA